CCUACGGGUGGCAGCAGUGAGGAAUAUUGGUCAAUGGGCGCGAGCCUGAACCAGCCAUGUAGCGUGAAGGACGACGGCCCUACGGGUUGUAAACUGCUUUUAUAACGGAAUAAAGUGACGUACGUGUGCCUUUUUGUAUGUACUUUAUGAAUAAGGAUCGGCUAACUCCGUGCCAGCAGCCGCGGUAAUACGGAGGAUCCGAGCGUUAUCCGGAUUAAUUGGGUUUAAAGGGAGCGUAGAUGGGUUGAUAAGUUAGUUGUGAAAGUAUGCGGCUCAACCGUAAAGUUGCAAUUGAUACUGGCAGUCUAGAGAACAGUUGCGGUAGGCGGAAUGCGUGGUGUAGCGGUGAAAUGCUUAGAUAUCACACAGAACUCCGAUUGCGAAGGCAGCUUACUAAUCUGCCACUGACAUUGAUGCUCGAAAGUGUGGGUAUCAAACAGGAUUAGAUACCCCUGUAGUC
rnacentral:rRNA from 1 species